UGCACAGCAAGACAGGUUUGCUCGAGCCGUUGUUGUGUGCCAUUGUAUGCAGUCUGCAAGAAGGUUAGCAAUGUCAUUCCCUCACACAGCCCAUCGCAUGGUUGGUAAGACAAAGAAAUCCUUUUAUGGAAGCCUUAGGAAAAAAACCUGCUGCCACAUCCCAUGCCCGAUGAACCAGCACCCGCUGGCCACCCUUCGGUCACACAGCACGGUCUCCCAGUGUUGCAGGCGCCUGCGAUGUCGGGGCCAGUUGACCAAACUGAAAUAAGAGUGGACUUGAGCAAGGCAGGCAGCACACACUUGCUUGGUGGCGGGAGUUCACCAUCACCAUGGAGCAAACCAAGCAUUGAAGAUCUCGUUGAUGCAACAAGGCCUCCGCUACUUUCUGGGACAACUGGGCCAGCAUAGUGUAAUUUAUUUUGUUAGAACCAGGAGCUGUCUUCUUACCAGAAGAAAUUACUCUGUUUA